ACCCCAUGGUAUUAUUGAUUCGCAUGGAUUAAUAAUUAAAGAUUUAUCGGUAGAAGAUGGCUAUGCGUCCUAUUAGCUAGUAGGUAUGGUAACGGCAUACCUAGGCGACGAUAGGUAGGGGCCCUGAGAGGGGGAUCCCCCACACUGGUACUGAGACACGGACCAGACUCCUACGGGAGGCAGCAGUGAGGAAUAUUGGGCAAUGGAGGCAACUCUGACCCAGCCAUGCCGCGUGCAGGAAGACUGCCCUAUGGGUUGUAAACUGCUUUUAUACAGGAAGAAACAGUCCUACGUGUAGGGCCUUGACGGUACUGUAAGAAUAAGGAUCGGCUAACUCCGUGCCAGCAGCCGCGGUAAUACGGAGGAUCCAAGCGUUAUCCGGAAUCAUUGGGUUUAAAGGGUCCGUAGGUGGAUUAAUAAGUCAGAGGUGAAAUCCUGCAGCUCAACUGUAGAACUGCCUUUGAUACUGUUAAUCUUGAGUCAUUAUGAAGUAGUUAGAAUGAGUAGUGUAGCGGUGAAAUGCAUAGAUAUUACUCAGAAUACCGAUUGCGAAGGCAGAUUACUAAUAAUGUACUGACACUGAGGGACGAAAGCGUGGGGAGCGAACAGGAUUAGAUACCCUGGUAGUCCACGCCGUAAACGA
rnacentral:rRNA from 1 species